GCAUGCAGGUGGUUCAUUAAGUCAGAUGUGAAAGCCCGGGGCUACGCCGGCCUGCAUUUGAAACUGGUGAACUAGAGUACUGUAGAGGGGGGUAGAAUUUCAGGUGUAGCGGUGAAAUGCGUAGAGAUCUGAAGGAAUACCAGUGGCGAAGGCGGCCCCCUGGACAGAUACUGACACUCAGAUGCGAAAGCGUGGGGAGCAAACAGGAUUAGAUACCCUGGUAGUCCACGCCGUAAGCGAUGUCUACUUGGAGGUUGUGGCCUUGAGCCGUGGCUUUCGGAGCUAACGCGUUAAGUAGACCGCCUGGGGAGUACGGUCGCAAGAUUAAAACUCAAAUGAAUUGACGGGGGCCCGCACAAGCGGUGGAGCAUGUGGUUUAAUUCGAUGCAACGCGAAGAACCUUACCUACUCUUGACAUCCAGAGAAGCCAGCGGAUACGCAGGUGUGCCUUCGGGAGCUCUGAGACAGGUGCUGCAUGGCUGUCGUCAGCUCGUGUUGUGAAAUGUUGGGUUAAGUCCCG
rnacentral:rRNA from 1 species